rnacentral:rRNA from 1 species
CCUACGGGAGGCAGCAGUGGGGAAUAUUGGGCAAUGGACGCAAGCCUGACCCAGCAACGCCGCGUGAAGGAAGAAGGCUCUCGGGUUGUAAACCUCUUUUAAGGGGGAAGAGCAGAAGACGGCACCCCUUUAAUAAGCCACGGCUAAUUACGUGCCAGCAGCUGCGGCAAUACGUAGGUGGCAAGUGUUGCCCGGAUUUACUGGGUGUAAAGGGCGUGUAGCCGGGGAGACAAGUCAGAUGUGAAAUCUACGGGCUCAACCCGUGAACUGCAUUUGAAACUGGUUGCCUUGAGUGUCGGUGAGGUAGGCGGAAUUCGUGGUGUAGCGGUGAAAUGCGUAGAUAUAAGGAAGAACACCGGUGGCGAAGGCAGAUUACUGGACGGUAACUGACGGUGAGGCGCGAAAGCGUGGGGAGCAAACAGGAUUAGAUACCCGUGUAGUC